GGCGAGUGAAGCGGCAACAGCUCAAAUUUGAAAUCUGGCCUCUUUUGGGGUCCGAGUUGUAAUUUGCAGAGGGCGCUUUGGCGUUGGCAGCGGUCCAAGUUCCUUGGAACAGGACGUCACAGAGGGUGAGAAUCCCGUACGUGGUCGCUGGCCUUCGCCGUGUAAAGCCCCUUCGACGAGUCGAGUUGUUUGGGAAUGCAGCUCUAAAUGGGAGGUAAAUUUCUUCUAAAGCUAAAUACUGGCCAGAGACCGAUAGCGCACAAGUAGAGUGAUCGAAAGAUGAAAAGCACUUUGGAAAGAGAGUCAAACAGCACGUGAAAUUGUUGAAAGGGAAGCGCUUGCAGCCAGACUUGCCUGUAGUUGCUCAUCCGGGCUUUUGCCCGGUGCACUCUUCUAUAGGCAGGCCAGCAUCAGUUUGAGCGGUUAGAUAAAGGUCUCUGUCAUGUACCUCUCUUCGGGGAGAACUUAUAGGGGAGACGACAUGUAACCAGCCCAGAUUGAGGUCCGCGCAUUUGCUAGGAUGCUGGCGUAAUGGCUGUAAGCGGCCCGUCUUGAAACACGGACCAAGGAGUCUAACAUCUAUGCGAGUGUUUGGGUGUCAAGCCCGAGCGCGCAAUGAAAGUGAACGGAGGUGGGAACCCCUCGGGGUGCACCAUCGACCGAUCCUGAUGUCUUCGGAUGGAUUUGAGUAAGAGCAUAGCUGUUGGGACCCGAAAGAUGGUGAACUAUGCUUGAAUAGGGUGAAGCCAGAGGAAACUCUGGUGGAGGCUCGCAGCGGUUCUGACGUGCAAAUCGAUCGUCAAA
rnacentral:rRNA from 3 species